rnacentral:rRNA from 1 species
AACGAACGCUGGCGGCAGGCUUAACACAUGCAAGUCGAACGAGAUCUUCGGAUCUAGUGGCAGACGGGUGAGGAACACGUGGGAACAUCCCUUUCAGUUCGGAAUAACGUUGGGAAACUAACGCUAAUACCGGAUACGUCCUUCGGGAGAAAGAUUUAUCGCUGAAAGAUUGGCCCGCGUCUGAUUAGCUAGUUGGUGAGGUAAUGGCUCACCAAGGCUACGAUCAGUAGCUGAUCUGAGAGGAUGAUCAGCCACAUUGGGACUGAGACACGGCCCAAACUCCUACGGGAGGCAGCAGUGGGGAAUAUUGGACAAUGGGCGCAAGCCUGAUCCAGCCAUGCCGCGUGAGUGAUGAAGGCCUUCGGGUUGUAAAGCUCUUUUAUCCGGGAAGAUAAUGACUGUACCGGAAGAAUAAGCCCCGGCAAACUUCGUGCCAGCAGCCGCGGUAAUACGAAGGGGGCUAGCGUUGUUCGGAUUUACUGGGCGUAAAGCGCACGUAGGCGGCUUGUUAAGUCAGAGGUGAAAUCCCAGGGCUCAACCCUGGAACUGCCUUUGAUACUGGCAAGCUCGAGUAUGGUAGAGGUUGGUGGAACUCCGAGUGUAGAGGUGAAAUUCGUAGAUAUUCGGAAGAACACCAGU